rnacentral:rRNA from 1 species
AUGUUCAAGACUGUUCCUGGAGCUACGGCCAAACCUAGCAAGAAGCUGAAGGUUAAUAAACUGACCGAAGAUCCCAAGGUUGCUGACCCGGAGAAGCAGACGAUGUUUGAGUCUUUGCAUCAAACUUCUGAAGCAGCCAUGGAUGAUCCACCACCAGAAGAGCACCAUGUCACCAUGGACCCCAUGAAUGUUGACCCGGAGAAUGCUAAGCUGCCCAGCCCCGCCCAGCUAGCUCAAGAAACCGAAGAUGUAAUCGUUACUGGGAUGGCUUACACAUCACCAGGUAACCCCACCGUCUUGUCCAAGCACAAUGCCAAAGAGGAAUUAUCAGCUGCUGACAAAGGCAAGUGGAAACUGGAUCUGGAGAGCUAUGCUCAAUUAAAAGCCCAUGAGCUUCACGCGGGUUACUUUGAACCGCUUUCAUACCAGCCAUGA